rnacentral:rRNA from 1 species
AUUGAACGCUGGCGGCAUGCUUUACACAUGCAAGUCGAACGGUAACAGCACUUCGGUGGCUGACGAGUGGCGAACGGGUGAGUAAUGUAUCGGAACGUGCCCAGUAGUGGGGGAUAACUACUCGAAAGAGUGGCUAAUACCGCAUGAGAUCUCUGGAUGAAAGCGGGGGACCGUAAGGCCUCGCGCUACUGGAGCGGCCGAUAUCAGAUUAGGUUGUUGGUGGGGUAAAGGCCUACCAAGCCUGCGAUCUGUAGCUGGUCUGAGAGGACGACCAGCCACACUGGGACUGAGACACGGACCAGACUCCUACGGGAGGCAGCAGUGAGGAAUAUUGGUCAAUGGGCGCAAGCCUGAACCAGCCAUCCCGCGUGCAGGAAGACGGCCCUAUGGGUUGUAAACUGCUUUUGCAGGGGAAGAAACUUCCGGUUGCGACCGGGACUGGCGGUACCCUGUGAAUAAGCAUCGGCUAACUCCGUGCCAGCAGCCGC